rnacentral:tRNA from 1 species
ACGCCGUUCGUCUAAUGGCAGGGCCUCGGCCUCCAAAACCGAAGACGUGGGUUCGAUUCCUACACGGCGUG